rnacentral:rRNA from 1 species
UACGUAGGGCGCAAGCGUUAUCCGGAAUUAUUGGGCGUAAAGAGCUCGUAGGCGGUUUGUCGCGUCUGCCGUGAAAAGUCCGGGGGCUCAACUCCGGAUCUGCGGUGGGUACGGGCAGACUAGAGUGAUGUAGGGGGAGACUGGAAUUCCUGGUGUAGCGGUGAAAUGCGCAGAUAUCAGGAGGAACACCAAUAGCGAAGGCAGCUCGCUGGGACGGUACUGACGCUAAGGCGCGAAAGCGUGGGGAGCGAACAGG